UGGGGAAUAUUGGACAAUGGGCGAAAGCCUGAUCCAGCCAUGCCGCGUGUGUGAAGAAGGUCUUCGGAUUGUAAAGCACUUUAAGUUGGGAGGACGGGCAGUAAUCGAAUACCUUGCUGUUUUGACGUUACCGACAGAAUAAGCACCGGCUAACUCUGUGCCAGCAGCCGCGGUAAUACAGAGGGUGCAAGCGUUAAUCGGAAUUACUGGGCGUAAAGCGCGCGUAGGUGGUUCGUUAAGUUGAAUGUGAAAGCCCCGGGCUCAACCUGGGAACUGCAUCCAAAACUGGAGAGCUAGAGUAGGGCAGAGGGUGGUGGAAGGUCCUGUGUAGCUGUGAAAUGCGUAGAUAGAGGAAGGGACACCAGUGGCUAAGGCGACCACCUGGGCUCAUACUGACACUGAGGUGCGAAAGCGUGGGGAGCAAACAGG
rnacentral:rRNA from 1 species